CCUACGGGAGGCAGCAGUGAGGAAUAUUGGUCAAUGGACGAGAGUCUGAACCAGCCAAGUAGCGUGAAGGAUGACUGCCCUAUGGGUUGUAAACUUCUUUUAUAAAGGAAUAAAACGAGGCACGUGUGCCUUUUUGCAUGUACUUUAUGAAUAAGGAUCGGCUAACUCCGUGCCAGCAGCCGCGGUAAUACGGAGGAUCCGAGCGUUAUCCGGAUUUGUUGGGUUUAAAGGGAGCGUAGAUGGGUUUUUAAGUCAGUUGUGAAAGUUUGCGGCUCAACCGUAAAAUUGCAAUUGAUACUGGCAGUCUUGAGUACAGUUGAGGUAGGCGGAAUUCGUGGUGUAGCGGUGAAAUGCUUAGAUAUCACGAAGAACCCCGAUUGCGAAGGCAGCUUACUAAACUGUGACUGACAUUGAUGCUCGAAAGUGUGGGUAUCAAACAGGAUUAGAUACCCGGGUAGUC
rnacentral:rRNA from 1 species